rnacentral:rRNA from 1 species
UCUACGGGAGGCAGCAGUGGGGAAUAUUGCACAAUGGGGGAAACCCUGAUGCAGCGACGCCGCGUGAAGGAAGACGUAUUUCGGUAUGUACACUUCUCUCAGCAGGGAAGAAAAUGACGGUACCUGACUAAGAAGCCCCGGCUAACUACGUUCCAGCAGCCGCGGUAAUACGUAGGGGGCAAGCGUUAUCCGGAUUACCUGGGGGGAAAGGGCGCGGAGGCGGUUUAGCAAGUCAGAAGUGAAAGCCCGGGGCUCAACUCCGGGACUGCUUUUGAAACUGUUGAACUUGAUUGCAGGAGAGGUAAGUGGAAUUCCUAGUGUAGCGGUGAAAUGCGUAGAGAUUAGGAGGAACACCAGUGGCGAAGGCGGCUUACUGGACUGUAAAUGACGCUGAGGCUCGAAAGCGUGGGGAGCAAACAGGAUUAGAUACCCCAGUAGUC